rnacentral:rRNA from 1 species
UACGAAGGGGGCUAGCGUUGCUCGGAAUCACUGGGCGUAAAGGGUGCGUAGGCGGGUCUUUAAGUCCGGGGUGAAAUCCUGGAGCUCAACUCCAGAACUGCCUUUGAUACUGAAGAUCUUGAGUCCGGGAGGGGUGAGUGGAACUGCGAGUGUAGAGGUGAAAUUCGUAGAUAUUCGCAAGAACACCAGUGGCGAAGGCGGCUCACUGGCCCGGUACUGACGCUGAGGCACGAAAGCGUGGGGAGCAAACAGG